GCGGGAAUAGCUCAUUUGGUAGAGCGACAGCCUUCCAAGCUGUAGGUGGUCGGUUCGAGCCCGAUUUCCCGCUCAA
rnacentral:tRNA from 4 species